CGGUCGGCAGACACCGAGGCGUCGCUGCUCCUGACAGGAGUGCUAAACCUGCCC
rfam:Actibacterium mucosum KCTC 23349 contig3, whole genome shotgun sequence.